rnacentral:rRNA from 1 species
UUGGGCGGCGUGCUACCAUGCAGUCGAACGAGAAAGCGGGGGCAACUCCGUGAGUAAAGUGGCAGACGGGUGAGUAACACGUGAAUAACCCACCCCCGAGUGGGGAAUAACCCCGCGAAAGCGGGGCUAAUGCCGCAUGACGCCCCGGGGUCGCACGAUCCUGGAGAAAGGCCUUCGGGUCGCUUUCAGAGGGGUCCGCGUCUGAUUAGCUAGUUGGUGGGGUAACGGCCUACCAAGGCGACGAUCAGUAGCCGGCCUGAGAGGGUGAACGGCCACACUGGAACUGAGACACGGUCCAGACUCCUACGGGAGGCAGCAGUGGGGAAUAUUGGACAAUGGGCGAAAGCCUGAUCCAGCAACGCCGCGUGGAGGAUGAAGGCCUUCGGGUUGUAAACUCCUGUCAGGUGGGACGAAAUACAUGACGGUACCACCAGAGGAAGCCCCGGCUAACUCCGUGCCAGCAGCCGCGGUAAUACGGAGGGGGCUAGCGUUAUUCGGAAUUAUUGGGCGUAAAGGGCGCGUAGGUGGCUUAAUAAGUCAGGGGUGAAAUCCCCGAGCUUAACUUGGGAAUUGCAUCUGAAACUGUCGAGCUUGAGUCCUGGAGGGGAUAGUGGAAUUCCCAGUGUAGCGGUGAAAUGCGUAGAUAUUGGGAGGAACACCUGCGGCGAAGGCGGCUACCUGGACAGUGACUGACGCUGAGGCGCGAAAGCUAGGGGAGCGAACGGGAUUAGAUACCCCGGUAGUCCUAGCCGUAAACGAUGGGCACUUGGUGUUGGGGGUAUUGAGUCCCUCGGUGCCGGAGUUAACACGUUAAGUGCCCCGCCUGGGGAGUACGGUCGCAAGACUGAAACUCAAAGGAAUUGACGGGGGCCCGCACAAGCGGUGGAGCAUGUGGUUCAAUUCGACGCAACGCGAAGAACCUUACCGGGGCUCGAACGGCAAUUGCUACCUCUGGAAACAGAAAGUUCUCUUCGGAGACGGUUGCCGAGGUGCUGCAUGGCUGUCGUCAGCUCGUGUCGUGAGAUGUUGGGUUAAGUCCCGCAACGAGCGCAACCCUUGCCCUUAGUUGCUACCAGGUAAAGCUGGGAACCCUAAGGGAACUGUCGGCGAAAAGCCGGAGGAAGGUGGGGAUGACGUCAAGUCCUCAUGGCCCUUACGUCCUGGGCUACACACGUGCUACAAUGGUCGGCACAAAGGGUCGCCAACCCGCGAGGGGGAGCUAAUCCCAAAAAGCCGAUCUCAGUUCGGAUUGCAGUCUGCAACUCGACUGCAUGAAGUUGGAAUCGCUAGUAAUCGCAGAUCAGAAUGCUGCGGUGAAUACGUUCCCGGGCCUUGUACACACCGCCCGUCACAUCACGAAAGUGGGUUGUACUAGAAAUCGCUGAACUAACCCGUAAGGGGAGUAGGUGCUUAAGGUAUGAUCCAAGU